UAUAGGGAACAAUUUUGUAAUUGCAGGUUGCAGUGAUUUGUUCUUCUGGCUUGGGGAGGAAGCGUACAGACAGCAGAGGGAGAAGAUGAUACACCGAAAAUGGAGUCUACUAACUGGUCCAGUGGCAAUCUUGGGCGGGAUCGUUGCAACGGUGGUCGUCGCCAACUUAAUCUUCGUUAAGGAUGUAAAGUUCUCUUCUCUUUUCCUUCGAUUUCCAAACCCUAGAUUUUAUAUUUGAGUUUUGGUAUCGGGGGAAUCGAAGGAUGUAUUUUCAUUUAAGAUUUCGAUUGAAAUUAUUCAUUGGAAUGAUUUGCAUUCGGUUUUAUUCGUCAUUCUUAUAUCUAAAUCGUAGGAGACAUCUAAACCUUUUGGCUAUUCGAUCGUGUCUCUGAUCGUAAUCGUAAAAAUUAGAUUUGUUUAACUUAGUUGUGAAUUAAGAAUAACACUUUUUGAAUGAUUGUGGGAGCUAUCAUUCUUUGUUAAAAUAAAGAGCGUCGCUCUCUGUUUAACUUCUGUUCAAAAAAUAUUAAAUGGAAAAACCUGUUCUGUCAUUCUUUAGAUGUUGUUAAUUAUUAGCUAGGUAGUUGAGUUUCUUUGCUGCAAUGAAAGCGCCAGUAGAGCCAGUAAGCAACGUGCACACCUGCUACACAUUUUUUACUUGAACUAAUUUCUUUAGCUGGAUUAUUUCAUAAACUGCUAGUUAUUCAAACCAAAGCUUUUUAUGCAGGGCGUAACCAUACACAUGCUAACACAUUGCGAUAUAUUUGAAAUUUGCAGGACCCAUUUCUUAAACCAAAGAAAAAGAACCAAGAUUCACCACCAUCAACCAAAUAGAACAGAAGCAAAGUGAAUUGCUUAAUGGAUGUGUUGUAAGCUUUUCAGGUGGUUUGUGUUUGUUGAUUAUUUUUCUAGCGAAACAAAUGUUUAAGCUGCAUUUUGGUACAAGGCUCUUCUUAGUUCAAUAAAGUGGAGUUCAUGAUCAAGUUUAGUAAUUUCUCUUCAUUAUGUUCACCAAAUUGCUGUUGUUAAAUCUUGAUUGAGCUACCAUGAGAGCAAGAAAAAGCAAAAUUCAGCUGUUUUUCCUUGUUCAGUAAUGAUAAUUUUUGGGGUAGAUUGCCGAGUAGGAAUACUAUGAAUUUCUGCGUCGUGUUAGCGUAUAUCCACUUUUAAUUCAUCAAGAAUGGUUAUUAAUAAUUGAUAUGGUAAAUUUUAUUCUCUUAAAAAGAAAAAUCUUAGUAUCUUCUGGGUAUAUGAUUCACUGGUAAACGUUAUUAUUAUUAUUAUGAUUGCCUUUCAAUCCUGAGAAAGACUCCAACCCCCCUUUUCAUAGGCUGGAUGUAGCUAUUUCCACUACUCCAUGAUAAGCUUGCGUUUGAAUUAACCUUCACUGCGACAGGUGAUGAGUUGUGACUACGGUUAGGUGUGAAAAAAUAUCUUUCAUUUGACCAUCAAUGCAUGUGAUUUACAUAAAGUUAACACGUAAUUUUUCUGUAUGUUUCAGGGGAAAAUAAUCUAAGGAGUAAUUUUUCCUGAAGAAAAAGGGAAAGAGGUAAAAAUAUGAUGUAUAAACAAUGGUACAAUGAAAUAAUAUGCCCCAAAGAAUCACAAUCUCUCCCUUCACAUAUGCGAACUGCCUGGUGAG
rnacentral:lncRNA from 1 species